CAGCCGCCGCGGGAAUACGGAGGAUCCAAGCGUUAUCCGGAAUCAUUGGGUUUAAAGGGUCCGUAGGCGGUCUUGUAAGUCAGUGGUGAAAGCCCAUCGCUCAACGGUGGAACGGCCAUUGAUACUGCAGGACUUGAAUUAUUGGGAAGUAACUAGAAUAUGUAGUGUAGCGGUGAAAUGCUUAGAGAUUACAUGGAAUACCAAUUGCGAAGGCAGGUUACUACCAAUUGAUUGACGCUGAUGGACGAAAGCGUGGGUAGCGAACAGGAUUAGAGACCCCUGUAGUCCCUGUCUCUUAUAC
rnacentral:rRNA from 1 species